rnacentral:rRNA from 1 species
AGAACGAACGCUGGCGGCAGGCUUAACACAUGCAAGUCGAACGCGUGUAGCAAUACACGAGUGGCGCACGGGUGAGUAACGCGUGGAUAUCUGCCUUUUGGUUCGGAAUAACCCCGGGAAACUGGGGCUAAUACCGGAUGGUUCCUACGGGAUAAAGAUUUAUCGCCAAAAGAUGAGUCCGCGUCCGAUUAGCUAGUUGGUGGGGUAAUGGCCUACCAAGGCGACGAUCGGUAGCUGGUCUGAGAGGACGAUCAGCCACACUGGGACUGAGACACGGCCCAGACUCCUACGGGAGGCAGCAGUGGGGAAUAUUGGACAAUGGGGGCAACCCUGAUCCAGCCAUGCCGCGUGAGUGAUGAAGGCCUUCGGGUUGUAAAGCUCUUUUGGCGGGACGAUGAUGACGGUACCGCAGAUAAGCCCGGCUAACUUCGUGCCAGCAGCCGC